GUCUGCCUACAAGCAAUGCACUGAAAUAAUUAGGGUCCCUGCAGUGAGACUCAAGCCAACAUUUCUGGGCAGUUUCUAAAUUUAGAAACCGCCUUUCUGCCUUCACCUCUGCCAGCACCACAGGGAUGGGGAACCUCAGCCUGAAAACAGGCAGGGCAGCUCAGGGUGCUACUGCACCAAACCUGCAGCCAGUCAUUGGACCUUUUGUGAGCAUGGAAACAGCAUUUUCUGUCCUGUCUGUCCAUGCAGUCAGAGGUGAGUCCCAGACAUACUGUGAUAUAACAGCGUGUUCUUCCUUUGGGGCAACAGCCACAGCUGAAUUCAUCAGUAGGAAUGGGAUGUCAGGGACUUCCUCAGGUGGAUUGCACUGGGGAUUCACUUCCAGGUGGGAUGCUGUGUCCUGUCACAUUGGGUGCUAACGAUGCCAUUUACACCUACUCCCGCUCUAACCUGAUCACCUCUCCUCAGAUCCAGCUGCUGGCCCUUUGAAGCUCUUGGCCAAAAAGAUUUGGCUCUGUGGUACAAUAUUGCCAAGCUGCUGCAUGAGAAAUGAACCGCACGUAGAGCGUAUGGUUCUGGCAUGCAUCUGUCAACAUAGCUGGCAUAGCUACAUGGGAAUAUGAUGGGAAAAGUCUUGGCUAGAAAAUCUUUCUGCACGCAUAUGAUGAGAGAGAAGGGAAAGACAAUGUUGGAAGAGGACAACUUGGUCCCAGAAGUCAGCAAGUCUCCAAUCAGUACAUCUUACAGCAGUGGCAGCUGCCUCUUCUCCAGUGGUAAGGGGAGAGUGCCCCUGGGAGGACGGCAUUUCAAGGAGAACAGAUUGCAGUUAGCACAGAAAACUUUGCAGAGCCACCUCAGUGAACAUCAGGGACAAAGUGCUGAGGUCCUGCUCCCUGCGGGGUCAGCUUCCACCAACCUCCUCUUUGGUGCUGAACAAAAAGGAGGAAUCGCAGGACGAGAAUGUUGGCAAGAUGAAGAGCAGAUCUCUGGAAGGCACCUGAGAUUCAAACGUUAAUCUGGCUCUCAGGGAACUCCUGAGCCUGGCUGCCUACACCCGGAUGACAACUCUGGGACAACUUCGAAAUCAAAGGGAUUUCUCUUGAAGUAAGGCACUGUUUGCCUCCAGAGAGGGUAUUACCAUCGAAGAUGCUGGCAGAUGAGUGAGCCCCAUCAGCAGAAAGCAGCCCCAAAGAUGUGGGGUGCUGGCUAUUUUCCCUGCCGCAUCCCAUCUGACCAGAGCUGUGUGAGGAAGAAAGAACAAAGAAAUAAACUGUUUGAGAAAGAGUGUAGCCA
rnacentral:lncRNA from 1 species